GGGGUGUAACGGUGGACGAAAAAUUGGUAAAAAGUGGGGUUCUACGGACUUGUUACUUGCUCGGUUGACGAAGUGUCAACACUUGGAAAUUAUGGAUCAAGAUUAUCUGUGAAACAGUGUGGAUUUAGCUCCUGAGAGAUCCUGUAUCCUUUUACGUGUGUUUUACUUUCUAUUUGUGGACUUAAAUAAAAUUUCAUGUAAAGUCGUUUUAAGCGCGUUAUUUGAUUUAAUUUGUACUGCUUGCUUGCUUGCUUGAUUUUUUCUUGGCCUCACUGAGCGUUAGCUCAUCUCUUAAGUUUGUUUUCCUUAAUAGGACUUGGAGGUGGAAGUUGGUGAUUCUAGACAAUAGCUUUUGAUGGAAGCUAGUAUACCUUUUAUAUGAAAU
rnacentral:lncRNA from 1 species